GAUGAUGUUGCAUCAGAUGU
rnacentral:piRNA from 1 species